rnacentral:tRNA from 1 species
AGGAAGAGGAGGGAUUC